CCUGGUGGCUCAGAGGUUAAAGCGUCUGCCUGAAAUGCAGGAGACCUGGGUUUGAUUCCUGGGUCAGGA
rnacentral:tRNA from 1 species